rnacentral:rRNA from 1 species
UACGAAGGGGGCUAGCGUUGCUCGGAAUUACUGGGCGUAAAGGGCGCGUAGGCGGGUCGUUAGGUUAGAGGUGAAAGCCCAGGGCUCAACCCUGGAAUUGCCUUUAAUACUGGUGACCUAGAGUAUGACAGAGGUGUGUGGAACUCCGAGUGUAGAGGUGAAAUUCGUAGAUAUUCGGAAGAACACCAGUGGCGAAGGCGACACACUGGGUCAUUACUGACGCUGAGGCGCGAAAGCGUGGGGAGCAAACAGG